rnacentral:lncRNA from 1 species
UAGAAAAGGUCACUAGCUACACUGACACAUAGAGUUAGCCUCUCUUCCCAUUCCUGCUCCACCUGACAUUAGUACCAAAGGCUAGUUUGCCCUGGCUUCAGGACAGCACACCAUUUCUAACCCACCAUGAAGACAGAACAACACAGACAGACAGUACCAGAGAUCAGGAUACCUUCCAAAGAAGCCAAAGGCAUUACAGGGAUGCAAAAUUUGAAUACGAAGGAAGAAACUCAAGAGUGCCUGAUCCAAAUCCCACUGGACUAG